UACGGAGGUGGCUAGCGUUGUUCGGACUUACUGGGCGUAAAGCGCACGUAGGCGGACUUGUCAGUCAGGGGUGAAAUCCCGGGGCUCAACCUCGGAACUGCCUUUGAUACUGCAAGUCUCGAGUCCGGAAGAGGUGAGUGGAAUUCCUAGUGUAGAGGGGAAAUUCGUAGAUAUUAGGAAGAACCCCAGUGGCGAAGGCGGGUCUCUGGACAGUUCCUGACACUGAGACACGAAGGCCAGGGGAGCAAACGGG
rnacentral:rRNA from 1 species